UCCAAAUUGUUUCGUGGAAUAGACGAAAUUACCAUUUCAUUUUGCAAUUUCAAUCGUUUACAUUUCUAUACAGAAAGCUAAUUGACCGGACACCAACAAGGCAAAAGGGGAGCCGCUGUCUCACGCCAUCCCUAUCUAUAUUAAGCCGACAGUAACAUUAGUCCACCCCACCUCUUCGUGUAUUUCAUUGAAAAGAAUAUCUGCAGCAAAAGUUCUUCUGGGCUCACCAAAAAUGACUCAAAUCAUGAAAUGCCUUGCAUCUUUUUCACUCUUCCUGUCAGCACUCAUAUUAUCCCUUUGCUCUCCAAUCUCAUCCGUUAGCCUUGAUGGAGCUGUGUCAAGUACAUCUUCUCUGGAAGUCCAACAAGGGAAUCAUCUUGCAGCAUAUGAAACUAGCAAAGUCUCAUUCUUUGCAAACCGGAAGUUAAUACAAGUUCAAAGCAAAAGAAGAGGGCGUUCUGUAAGACCACCGGUCGGUGCUGGUUCCAGAACAAGAUCAUCAUCUGCGAAUAGGAAACGAGCAUCUUCGUCCCAGUUGAAUGCUCUGCUGGUUUUCUCCAUUUCAUGCAUCUUCUUCUUCUUGGUUUAGUUAGUACUAGCUACUACCAUUGCAAUUGUUAUUUAUAGAACUAAGGAUAUUCGUGCAGCUAUACUUAAAAGGUGAAACGUUUCCUCUUUACAAUCCAUGGAAGGUUCAUCAUCCUAGAAAACUCUCUGCCUGUGUGCUCGUGGGAACUUGUUUGUAAAUUACAGAAUUCCUUUGCACAUAUCAUUUCAGUGGAUUGAAUUGCUAGGGAGUGAUUUGUGCUUUAUUUGCCAUUUCCAUAUAUGUCAAUUAAUUCAUUGAAGUGGAAUUGUUGCACAAGUUUUUUUCCCCUUUUUUUUAAUUAAAGAAAAUGACAUACUGAGCUGUUUUUCAGAAAGUAUAUAGCUUA
rnacentral:lncRNA from 1 species